UCAGCCCUGUAUAUAUUUUUUAUAUUGUCCAUUCUGCCUCCAUCCCUGCCACACUCUCUCUUCCCUUUUGCCAUUUUCCACCUGUCCACCAGACUUUCUUGCCUGGUUCUCACACCCACCUGCUCACCUGUUGCCACUCCUCAAUUAUCUUCGCCUGCUACUCAUUAUCUCAGUCCCAGUUGCUUACACACCGUUUCCUGCCAGAUCAUCAAUUAUGUUAUGUUGAACACUUUUUUUUCCUCUUUCUGUGUUUUCUGCCUGCUUACCUGCCACCUGUGGUUUUGACCUGCCUGCCUUGCCCUCUGGACUUGGUUGCCUGUUUUGGACUCCCUUCCAGGUACUGACCUGAGGGGUGUACUACAAAGCGAAAUUAGUGGGUUAGUGAGAUGCUGCCUCUCCCACCUGCCCUGCAGUAACUCCAGCCCUCCCUUCCUGCCUUCCCAGUCACCUGAUUCCCCCACACCCAUUGGCACACCUGUUCCCCAUUCCCUCAUUAGCUCCCCUGCAUUUAUACCAGUUCAUUUCCACUUGCCCUCUGCCAGACUGUCUGUUGCGCUGUUCCAGCCAUACAGCUUUCCAGCCUUUGUCCCCUUUUUGCAACCUGCCUGCCUGUUUGACCUCCUGCCUGUUUUUGGACUUUGCUUUUUGCCUGCUCACUUUGCCGUGUUUGCCUGGUUCUACUGGCUGCCUGUUGCUGAUCUAUGCCUACCUGCUGGCUUGGUGCCCCCCCUCCGUUCUGUCUUUUUAAUAAAGGUAUUGUUUGAACUUUUA